GCGACCCCAGGUCAGCGGGGACUACCCGCUGAGUUUAA
rnacentral:ncRNA from 12 species